CCAACUAAGUCGCAUAAAUAUGCUCCUAUCAAAUUCCCCCACACUUAGCUUUUGCUAGUCCUCGAGCAAAACAAAGAAAUAAAACGAAACAAAACAAAUAAAACACAACCUAAACCUUCCAACAUUUGCCUCAGGGAUUUCCAAUGCACAUGACAUGUUAAAAAUCAUUAUCCCCACAGAUUUGAGUCAUCUUUACACUUAAGCACAUACUUAAUCAUAGUCACCACUUACGAGUUCACAAUUAAUCAAUUAAAACAAUGUUUUUGAUGUAGUAACAUGCCUUAGAGAAAUCACUCAAUUCCUUACAAGGUAUGCACUCAAUUUUCACUCAGAUUUUCUAACUACACACCCUAUACUAGUUAUAUGUGAGAAGAUUGAUGUAGAUAUGAAAACGAACGCUCACAUAUAUGUAUCAUAAAGAAAGCAAUUUCUGGAGUUAAUAAGCAUGUUUAGAUAUGAUCUCAUGAAUGGAAUGCUACUACUUAGAUGCGAGAACCAGUGACACCAUAUGCUCAUACCAAAUUCAAACUCCACAUAUUGAAACGCAUGACACUCAAGAUGAAGUUAAGGGUUGUAACGGGGCUUGGGGUGAUGGCUAACAAAUGAAGGAUAAGGAUAACAAUCGUUCUUAAAGCAAUAGCAAGUAAAGUAAUGAAAUUGAAACUUAGAAUUCACUUAAAAUUGCAGAAAUCAGCUUUUAGACACGAAAGGAAAAUUCAAGCAAUAAUUAGGGCCGAAUUCUAUGUUUUUGGACCCUUUCUUCAACAAGCAGCACUUUAAAACUCUUUUUCGCAUAUUUUUCAACUCUUUUUUUUUUUUUUUUUUUUUUUUUUUUUUUUUCAACUCUUCUUUUCUUUUCAACAAGCAUAAUAACUCACACUUCCCCCACACUUGUUUUCUGCCAUACAUUAAUCAAAAGAAAUUCAAUUUGAAUCGUGUUUUACUAUGCUUCAAGAACAAGGGUAUGGAUGGUCCUAAACUAGGCUAGGUAAGGAUAAUGUGGUUUAACAAAGAAUGUAGGCUAUCAAGGCUCAAUGGGGUUAACUUAAACAUAUAACGAUAUGGGAUACAUGGCAGUUUGGCUUUGGUGGUGGUAACUACACAACUUCAUCUUGAAUAUGUGUUAUGCAAAUCAAUAUCAUGCUUUGAAUGAAAAUGGGCAUGAGUUCUAGCAUUUUGGAACUAAAUGAUGAAACGCCUUCUAAGUAGUAACCAAGCAAAGAAAAAUGAGAUCAUGCAACGACUUUAGAAAACAAUAAUGCACAGAUUAUCAACUCUCCAAAUAACGUUUAGGCUCAAGUCUCACAAGGUUGUAGCGUUAGUUUGAGUUCUUUCCUUCAAGCAUGUUACAAAAACUAAUUUUUUUUCUUUUAUGAUUACAUGUGAUUUUCAUAAGUUAUAACCACAACCACGCAUAAAUAAAGAGUAAAUCAAACUUUCAUCCAUGUUUAUAACUCUCUUUAAUAGUCAUGCAAUUACAAAACGAAUCCUCAUCAUUGUGUUGGAAGGUACCCUAAGACACAAAUAAGCACACAAAAACAACUCUUUUUUGGAUUUUCAAAAACAUUUUUCAAAUUUUUAUGAAUUUUCGGAUUUUUAUGUCAAAACACA
rnacentral:lncRNA from 1 species